rnacentral:rRNA from 1 species
GACAGAGGGGGCAAGCGUUGCUCGGAAUUACUGGGCGUAAAGAGCUCGUAGGCGGUUCGGUAAGUUGGGUGUGAAACCUCCAGGCUCAACCUGGAGACGCCACCCGAUACUGCUGUGACUAGAGUCCGGUAGGGGAGCGUGGAAUUCCUGGUGUAGCGGUGAAAUGCGCAGAUAUCAGGAGGAACACCAGCGGCGAAGGCGGCGCUCUGGGCCGGAACUGACGCUGAGGAGCGAAAGCGUGGGUAGCAAACAGG